rnacentral:rRNA from 1 species
AUUGAACGCUAGCGGGAUGCCUUACACAUGCAAGUCGAACGGCAGCGCGGACUUCGGUCUGGCGGCGAGUGGCGAACGGGUGAGUAAUGUAUCGGAACGUGCCCAGUAGCGGGGGAUAACUACUCGAAAGAGUAGCUAAUACCGCCUACGCCCUACGGGGGAAAGGGGGGGAUCGCAAGACCUCUCCCUAUUGGAGCGGCCGAUAUCGGAUUAGCUAGUUGGUGAGGUAAAGGCUCACCAAGGCGACGAUCCGUAGAUGGUUUGAGAGGACGACCAGCCACACUGGGACUGAGACACGGCCCAGACUCCUACGGGAGGCAGCAGUGGGGAAUUUUGGACAAUGGGUGAAACCCUGAUCCAGCCAUUCCGCGUGUGCGAUGAAGGCCUUCGGGUUGUAAAGCACUUUUGGCAGGAAAGAAAUCGCAUCAAUUAAUACUUGGUGUGGAUGACGGUACCUGCAGAAUAAGCACCGGCUAACUACGUGCCAGCCGCCGCCGUAA